GAGUUUGAUCUUGGCUCAGAUUGAACGCUGGCGGCAGGCCUAACACAUGCAAGUCGAGCGGAUGAAGGGAGCUUGCUCCUGGAUUCAGCGGCGGACGGGUGAGUAAUGCCUAGGAAUCUGCCUGUAGUGGGGAUAACGUCCGGAAACGGGCGCUAAUACCGCAUACGUCCUGAGGGAGAAAGUGGGGGAUCUUCGGACCUCACGCUAUCAGAUGAGCCUAGGUCGGAUUAGCUAGUUGGUGGGGUAAAGGCCUACCAAGGCGACGAUCCGUAACUGGUCUGAGAGGAUGAUCAGUCACACUGGAACUGAGACACGGUCCAGACUCCUACGGGAGGCAGCAGUGGGGAAUAUUGGACAAUGGGCGAAAGCCUGAUCCAGCCAUGCCGCGUGUGUGAAGAAGGUCUUCGGAUUGUAAAGCACUUUAAGUUGGGAGGAAGGGCAGUAAGUUAAUACCUUGCUGUUUUGACGUUACCAACAGAAUAAGCACCGGCUAACUUCGUGCCAGCAGCCGCGU
rnacentral:rRNA from 1 species